rnacentral:misc_RNA from 1 species
UAGAGAUGAAGUCAUCACGGA